UCAGAUCAUCUGUAAAGCUCA
rnacentral:siRNA from 1 species